rnacentral:rRNA from 1 species
GAGUUUGCUCAUGGCUCAGGAUGAACGCUAGCGGCAGGCUUAACACAUGCAAGUCGAGGGGUAACGGGGAAGCUUGCUUCCGCCGACGACCGGCGCACGGGUGCGUAACGCGUAUACAAUCUACCUUAUACUGGGGUAUAGCCUUUAGAAAUGAAGAUUAACCCCCCAUAGUCUCUUAGAGUGGCAUCACUUCUAGAGUAAAGGUUACGGUAUAAGAUGAGUAUGCGUUCUAUUAGUUUGUUAGUGUGGUAACGGCACACCAAGACUACGAUAGAUAGGGGCCCUGAGAGGGGGAUCCCCCACACUGGUACUGAGACACGGACCAGACUCCUACGGGAGGCAGCAGUGAGGAAUAUUGGACAAUGGAGGCAACUCUGAUCCAGCCAUGCCGCGUGCAGGAAGACUGCCCUAUGGGUUGUAAACUGCUUUUAUACAGGAAGAAACACCUCUACGUGUAGAGGCUUGACGGUACUGUAAGAAUAAGGAUCGGCUAACUCCGUGCCAGCAGCCGCGGUAAUACGGAGGAUCCAAGCGUUAUCCGGAAUCAUUGGGUUUAAAGGGUCCGCAGGCGGUCUUUUAAGUCAGAGGUGAAAUCUUGCAGCUCAACUGUAAAAUUGCCUUUGAAACUGGUUAUCUUGAGUUAUUAUGAAGUAGUUAGAAUAUGUAGUGUAGCGGUGAAAUGCAUAGAUAUUACAUAGAAUACCAAUUGCGAAGGCAGAUUACUAAUAAUCAACUGACACUGAUGGACGAAAGCGUGGGUAGCGAACAGGAUUAGAUACCCUGGUAGUCCACGCCGUAAACGAUGGUUACUAGCUGUUUGGACUUCGGUCUGAGUGGCUAAGCGAAAGUGAUAAGUAACCCACCUGGGGAGUACGUUCGCAAGAAUGAAACUCAAAGGAAUUGACGGGGGCCCGCACAAGCGGUGGAGCAUGUGGUUUAAUUCGAUGAUACGCGAGGAACCUUACCAGGGCUUAAAUGUAAGUUGCAUUAGUUAGAGAUAGCUAUUUCUUCGGACCACUUACAAGGUGCUGCAUGGUUGUCGUCAGCUCGUGCCGUGAGGUGUCAGGUUAAGUCCUAUAACGAGCGCAACCCCUGUUGUUAGUUGCCAGCGAGUCAUGUCGGGAACUCUAGCAAGACUGCCAGUGCAAACUGUGAGGAAGGUGGGGAUGACGUCAAAUCAUCACGGCCCUUACGUCCUGGGCUACACACGUGCUACAAUGGUAGGUACAGAGAGCAGCCACUGCGCGAGCAGGAGCGAAUCUAUAAAACCUAUCACAGUUCGGAUCGGAGUCUGCAACUCGACUCCGUGAAGCUGGAAUCGCUAGUAAUCGCGCAUCAGCCAUGGCGCGGUGAAUACGUUCCCGGGCCUUGUACACACCGCCCGUCAAGCCAUGGAAGCUGGGGGCACCUGAAGUCGGUAACCGUAAGGAGCCGCCUAGGGUGAAACUGGUAACUAGGGCUAAGUCGUAACAAGGUAACC